GCCAGUGUGGUGUAGUGGUUUGAACAUUGGUCUAUGACUCUAGAGACCAGAGUUCAAUUCCUUGCUAUGCCA
rnacentral:tRNA from 1 species